ACACUGAUCACAGACAGAGGACCAACAAUUUCUGAAGGACCUCAUCCAAUGGGUACCUUGAGUCUUCAGUGAGCUCUGCAUCAGGCCUCUAUCAUACUCCAGCUUGUUUCACAGGGCCUACAGCUGACCAAAGUCCUCAGCUUCUCCAGUUCAGCUUUCUCAAACAAAAGAUUCAGGUGGUCCCCAAAGACCAUCUCUGCUCUUCGUGGGUAUUUCUGCAUCAGAACCACUCCGUCCCCACCACCCUCCGAGAGCUCAGGUGCAAAUCAUCUCCUCAUUAAGCUCCUUGUACAAAUUCACAUACAAAUCCAGAAAAACAAACAGUGGAUAUGAAGAGGCAUUCAGCAGAAUUGGUGGUUGCUUAUAGUGCAGCUUGACUAAUUAGGCCAGCAUUUCCUGUGGUUAGUGUGCAAUUUAUUCGAAGAGUAAGGUAGGUCUAAAGAGGGUCACUGUGUUUGUGUUGACUGUGAAUUUCUUUCCUAUGAUUUCAGAAUUUCUGUUGCCUGUGUUACUCAGGAGAUAAUGUAAAUGCAUUGUC
rnacentral:lncRNA from 1 species